AUAGCGUUAAGUAUAUGAGAGAACUUGUCGUUUGUUAACUAAUUUUCUUUAUGUUCCAGUAUUCCAGUUUCUCUUUUUAUUCCUUAUAGACUAAAGAGUUCUGAUUUUAGCGUGCUAAAUCGGAUGUUAAGGGGAAAAACUACAAUCCAUAGCUUCUGAGAAAUAGAGCGGAACUACAGAUUUCAUUAAACGGCACGAGGAAUAUAGAAACUACAGAGUUCUGCUUUUCGCGUGCUUAAUCGGGUGUUAAGGGAAACAACUACAAUCCAUAGCUUCCGAGAAGUAGAGCGGAACUACAGAUUACAUUAAACGACACACGGAAUAUAAAAAUCUAGAGGUCUACACUACCGGGAAAGACACGAAUACCGUUUGAAUGAUAUUUUAGACUUGCAAGGAGAAAGGACAAAUCAGAAAUUUGACGAAAAUUAACAGACGAUGAUUUGUUAAAAAUUUUAUAGGAGUCUUAUGAAGUCAAAGUGCGACAAUAUUAAGGAAAAGGAAUGAUGUGGUUCAAGGUUCAAAGAGGAAGUCUAGUACUGUUUAUGGAAGUGAUUUAUAUGUGAUCCCAAAUCUAUCAAAAUUAGGAAAAGGAGAUAUUUCUGCUGAAAUUUCAUUUGUGGCUUAUCGGAUUUACAUUUACGGAUGACAAGAUUUUAUAAAUUUGGAUAUAUGUUGGAAAUACAUGUUUUAGCAUUUUGUCAUUUUUAUUUGUUUUAUGCACUGUUGGAUAUUUGAAUAUCCAACUGACGGGCGGUUGGAUAUUAAAAAUAUCCAACUGCCCAUCAGUUGGAUAUGUAUAUAUCCAAUCACUGUUGAUUGAAUAGUGAAAAUAAACGUUGACAAAAUACAAUAGGUGACG